rnacentral:rRNA from 1 species
UACAGAGGUCUCAAGCGUUAUUCGGAAUCACUGGGCGUAAAGGGUGCGUAGGCGGCGCGGAAAGUCAGGGGUGAAAUCCCGGAGCUCAACUCCGGAACUGCCUUUGAUACUCCCGCGCUAGAGAGCUGGAGGGGACAUCGGAAUUCACGGUGGAGCAGUGAAAUGCGUGGAUAUCGUGAGGAACACUAGUGGCGAAGGCGGAUGUCUGGACAGUAUCUGACGCUGAGGCACGAAGGCCAGGGGAGCGAACGGG